rnacentral:rRNA from 1 species
AUUGAACGCUGGCGGCAGGCCUAACACAUGCAAGUCGGACGGUAGCACAGAGGAGCUUGCUCCUCGGGUGACGAGUGGCGGACGGGUGAGUAAUGUCUGGGGAUCUGCCCGAUAGAGGGGGAUAACCACUGGAAACGGUGGCUAAUACCGCAUAACGUCGCAAGACCAAAGAGGGGGACCUUCGGGCCUCUCACUAUCGGAUGAACCCAGAUGGGAUUAGCUAGUAGGCGGGGUAAUGGCACACCUAGGCGACGAUCCCUAGCUGGUCUGAGAGGAUGACCAGCCACACUGGAACUGAGACACGGUCCAGACUACUACGGGAGGCAGCAGUGGUGAAUAUUGCACAAUGGGCGCAAGCCUGAUGCAGCCAGGCCGCGUGUAUGAAGAAGGCCUUCGGGUUGUAAAGUACUUUCAGCGGGGAGGAAGGCGGUGAGGUUAAUAACCUCACCGAUUGACGUUACCCGCAGAAGAAGCACCGGCUAACUCCGUGCCAGCAGCCGCCGUAA